rnacentral:antisense_RNA from 1 species
GGUGCGGUCUGUGUCUUUUUGGUAAAUGGGCAGUAUUUUUAGAAGGUCCUCUUUGAAACUGUGCUUCCCCCUGGGCCACCACCUUCCGCAUCCAACUUGAGAAAAUAUUCUCGAUCUUUUUGCCAUCAAAAGUCCUUUUUGGGGUUCAUUUUCGUCCCUUCACACUGCAUGCAGGAUUUGAAAGGCUAAGUGUAGACACUAAACAGGUGUCUGAAAUAACAAUUCAUUUCUCUCUCCCCCAAGGGAAAUCAAGUGUUGCCGGAAUGUUCUAACUCAGACUUAAACUAUCUGAAGAUCAGUGCACGCAUCUCUUCUGUGCACAGCAUAACGUUCCAUCUCAGCUGGUGGGAGAUGAAUGGGAGCUCAGAUGGUGAGCUUUGGGGUGAAAUUUCCCAACUUUGAGAUUAUCCCUACCUACCAACGCACUACAAUCUGGACUCAGGAUUACCAUCUCUCAGAUGGGGCCAUUUGCAUUAUUCAUUUAAAUGAGACAAAGGAUUUCCAUUUCCAGUAUGGCUGACCAGCUCCCAUAUGAUCAACGCUACCACAGGUAACAACUAUAAACUCUGGGGA